rnacentral:rRNA from 1 species
CCUGAGAAACCCAAAAGAUCGAAUGGGGAGAUUCAUCGUCAGCGAUUUUGGCGCUUGUGCGGUUCGCGAUGCCGGAGACUUCGGUUUCCGGGCACGCGUCCGCAUGUUUUCCAUUGCCUUAAACGUCGGCGUGCACUUCUCCCCUAGUAGGACGUCGCGACCCGUUGAGUGUCGGUCUACGGCCCGGGCGGUAGCCUGUCUCGUGUUCGCUUCACGGCGUUACGCGGUUCAGACCCCCGGUUGCCUGACCGGCUGCUCGGCGGUACGCGCACGGUAUCUGGCCGCAAAUAUUCGAACUGCGUCCGGCCCGUCGCAAGCGAGGCAAGUGUUUCCCGGCUGUACGGAUCUAAUGCCGUCACCGGGCCUUGCCAGCUGUUGGUUGACGGUGCCCUAGGACAGGCCAAUACAAUUAUGAUACCGGUCGGCGACGCUACUGCUUUGGGUACUUUCAGGACCCGUCUUGAAACACGGACCAAGGAGUCUAACAUGUGCGCGAGUCAUUGGGUAUUAUUAAGCCUAAAGGCGCAAUGAAAGUGAAGGUCGGCCUCGCGCCGACCGAGGGAGGAUGGGCCGCGUCACGAUGCGGUCCCGCACUCCCGGGGCGUCUCGUUCUCAUUGCGAGAAGAGGCGCACCCAGAGCG